GUGAGAGUGUAAAAAUAUUGUAUCUUGCUGCUGAAUUACUUGGUGCAAAAAUACAGCAGAAUGAACACUGCCCGAUUGAAGAUGGCCGGGCUGCGAUGUUCAUUUACAACAAGCACAAGAAAGCAUGGGAGAAGAGCAUGAAAGAACAACUCCGGUUCAAAAAGAAGAUCAAGAAGCGAGGGAAAAAGAAACCUGCUGAGCCCAAUGUGAAUGACCCCAAUGUCCCCACUGUUCUUCUAUAAUACAUCAGAACCUGUGUGAACCAUUUCCCUAGAAGUCUUUCAUUCUGACAAGGGGGUAUGGAUAUGAUAAAUCCUACUGUAACUUUGACUCAAGUUAGUAUCUGACCAUGAAACUUUCAGAGAAUACUUGACGCUAGUAUCAUGAUCCCAAUCUUUGAUUCACAGUUCUAUAUGUAGCAUUUUUCCUAGGGAAACAGUAUUUGUAAUGAAAAUUUUGUACCUCAAUAUUCAUGUACUGUAAAUUCACACUUGCAUUCAGGUUUUGUAACAAACAUUGUCACCAUCAACUGAAAAAUGUCACAGGUGACAGGACGGGGUUGCUGAGAA